UACAGAGGGUGCAAGCGUUGUUCGGCAUUAUUGGGCGUAAAGGGCGCGUAGGCGGUGCGGUAAGUCUGCGGUGAAAUCUCCCGGCUCAACUGGGAGGCUGCCGUGGAAACUGCCGUGCUUGAGUGUGGGAGAGGUGAGUGGAAUUCCCGGUGUAGCGGUGAAAUGCGUAGAUAUCUGGAGGAACACCGGUGGCGAAGGCGGCAUCCUGGACCGAUACUGACGCUGAGGAGCGAAAGCCAGGGGAGCAAACGGG
rnacentral:rRNA from 1 species